GGAGAUUUCUCCUUUGGAGUUUUACAGUGAGCCCAGGACACAGGUCAAGUUUCCAUCUGGAUUUAAGAUCUGGCUUGUACAGCUUCCCUGUCUUCUCAGGGUUGAAAACUGCAGACUACUAGCUCUGUGGUGGUACCUCAAGUCUCAUCUGUACAUACAAAAUUAGGAAACCUGUGGUUUCAAAAAUCAAGAGUAACAGGACAAAUGCCAAAUAUAUAGGAUUUAUUAAAAUCUAAGGUUUUAAUGACAGUUAUCGGACACUGGUCUGACCAGUCCAUUCACUCUCAUCAUUGACUCAGUACAGUGGGCAGCUGCCCUGUGACAACAUCAUGUGUGUGGUCUAAGGGAAGGCUGGAGGUUAUGAUCUGUACGAGAGCACUGGGGAGGAAGAUGGAGGUGAAAUAUGGACUCUUGCUGAUUGUAGAAACUGCAAAUUGGAUUUUCUUAAAAUUUCAUAGCCUGACUUCUAAAUUAUGCUUCAAGCCAUAUUUAGUUUGAGCCUGGUCCUUUAGCCUUGUGUGACUUAUUCAGCCUUUGUUUGUGUCUGUGUGGUCACUGUAUGUAAAUUGAGUGUGCAGUGGUACAGUUUUGGUUUAACUUUUUGUAUUCUUGUACUUUCAUGUUUUUUUUUUUUCUGGAUAUCUUUUACAUAUUAUGCCUUCGUUUUGUAGAGUAUAUAGUGUUUUCAGAGCUCUAUGAAUACUCAGUAUUGUUAUUAUUUUUGCCUGGAGGUUUUGAUAAAUAUGCUCAGCUCCCAGUAGUAUAUUCUCAACUCCCUAUCCACAGGAAAAAAAACACUCAUUUUCCAGAUGUUGAAAACAAUACUUCUAGCCCCAGCUACAGAGUAACUAUCACGGCAAGGAUCACUGCAAUGGGCUAGAUCCCAAAGUCCCAAGUUGUGAUUGCAAAAAUGGACUUUCACUCUUGUAAUAAAAAUGUACUUUCUUGUGGUGUAAGAUAUUGAAUGGUGACAGCAACUGCUACAAAUCUAACACAACAUUAAUAUGUAGGGAAGAGUGUACUCAACAUGAUGCUGAGUGAUUUCCUCCAUUGGCUUGGAAAGCAAAAAUAACUUGCUUGAAUUGGAAAGGUAAUUUUCAGUUCUCAGAAUAUCCUUUUCCUCUUUUACUUAGUUUUGCUGAAUGCUUGGGCAGGAUGACUAUAGCUGACUGACUGUAGUAAUGGUUAUGUCAUUCAGCAGAGAACUAAUUCCCUUGUGUGAGCAGAAUUUUGAUUCAUUUUAUUUAAUUUUUUUCUUCUCUUUUAAGGCAAAACAUGCAGAUGGAGGUCAAAAAACAGAACUAAGCUGUAGCCAGAAAUGUUCCUAUUUUGAAACACUGAAAAAACUAUGUAUACUUAUUACAAUUUCUUUUUAAUGAGGGCAUUUAUGUCAGAGCAAAAUAGCACAAAAUAGAGAAAUCUAGACACUGUAAAAUAUGCUAACAGAUUUGGCACAUGCAUCACUCCCUUAAUAUGCCUCCAAUGUAACCUAUAGAUCCCACAAAUGACCACAUUCUGUUUUUGUAUGUAAAAAAAACUUCUAUACAUGUAACACUCGUAAGAGUAGCAGUCUUACUAGUAGUAAAAGAUUAUGGUCUUUCUAUUUAGUAUAUAGGUUUACUUAGAAUGAGUCCUUGUGGAAGAAUGCAGAACCACGAAAAACUGUUAAGAUGUCAUGAUUAUAAUAAUUUAACAUUUAGAGGAAUACUUCACUUUAAGUUAUAGUUCCAAAAUUACACUGCUCAUUCAUGAUUUUUUUAAUGUAUAAUUGGCUGCCUCCAAAACUGUCACAGUAGGAGGAAAAACAGCUCAUUUUCCUUGGCUUGUGUACUUCUGCUAUUCCUGUGUUCGUUUGGCUUGGCUUGGGUUAAGAAAUUCUGCAGUCUGAAAUAACUUUUUAUAUGUUGGCGUGCACAUUUUACUAGAAUAAGCAGGCAAAAUAGAUGAAGGAGGAUUCAGCUAUGAUCAAAAUACAUAUUGUAUUGCACAUUUUAAUAUAUUAGUUUGCAUUUAUGAUCUUUUCAUUUCUUCAUUGUAAUGGCAUACAUACAGGCACAUCCUAUCUGCACAUAAAGACUUGAAGAAAGAUGUUUGGAAGCAAGAUAAGAUUAACAAGGGGAGGAGAGAUGUAGGAGAAGAAAGUAAGCUGAGGAAUAUAGUUUUCUCCCUCAAAUAUAAAGCUGAGAGAGGAUUAUAUUGAUCAACUGAAAUAUAUUCAGGCAAAAGCCUAACAUAGGAAGUAAAAAAUAGGAAAACAUGUUCCUCUGACUGUCCCUUUCAUGGGGGCAUGGAGAUAUGUCUCUCUCCACUGGCAGAGCUCGACUCUUCAAAUGUGGAUUCACAUUCCCAUCUAGCCUGAACUGAACUUUUUUCAUUUAUGGGACUGGGCUGAAGCCCCAAAAAUACUCCCAGCGCUGGCUUUAGCUGUUAGUUUAGUUUCCAAAUUAUUGAUCAUUUACAUCAAGCAGCAGUGGAAAGGCCACAGUCCAGCAAUGCAGCUGUGGGUGUGCUGCUGAGUGAGGCCCUAUCAGGCAGCAUGUUCUCCCGACCUCAGAUAGUAACUUUGCUGCAGAGCCUUCUGCCCUGGAUCUUCAGGUGCAUGCCACACAACAGCUUACUGGUUAAUUCCACAUCUCUUCCUAAUCUGUGACUUUCCUCCAAACCCAAUUUGUAGGAUUCUCUGGUAGGUUGAUUUGUAGUUGUGUGACAGUAUCUUGACCUUUUGCAGGGAAAAUCCCAUGUGCUCACAAGGGUUUAACACAAGGUCUUACAAAGUAAAGUGAAAAUAAUUCCAAUGAAAAUAUUUAGGCAAUCCUAUGAUUCUGAAUGUCUGUUUUGCUGGCCUUGUCAUUGUGGUCUUAUACUCUAAAAAUAUUGAAUUAAUGCAUACUCACUGGCUGUUAUUUCUGGUUAGGAAACUAGAAGUUUUCUAUACACACAUCAUCACACUGACAUGGGGCUGAGACGCAAUGCAGCAGUGCAUAUAGCUGUGCCAUGUGAGAAGCAGGGCUAAGAAGAACAUAUUGAAGCUCAACACCGAGUAGUUCUGUGCUUGUUUCACAACUGAGAUGAAAGACGCCUUAUUCUGUUAUAAACAGGAAACCUGGGCCAAGUCUGUAGAGGUUCACGCCCAGGGCCACAACCUUGAGGAACCAAGGUUUGAUGUAUUUGUCAAGAUGAAGAUCACAACACACCCCAUGAUUUGUGCAUUGUUGGGACCUGCUCCUAACCACAUCUCAGCAGAGAUUUCUAUUUAAUUUUAAAAUUUUAUGCAGUAAUAACUAGGGGUCAGUAAUAUCCACAUCAAAAAUGAAGUAUAAUGAAAACUUAAAAAUGUGAUAUUUCAAGUCCAUCUUUAAGUCUUUACACUACUAUCUAAUAUGGUAAAGCAAAAUAGAAAGACUAAAGAAAAUAUGAUGAAAAUAGAUAGAAUAGAACUAAGAGCCCAUUUCAUAAAUACUUUCCUUCUCAUCUAAUUUUCUUUAAAUACAGUCUUUUAGGUGUAUG